rnacentral:misc_RNA from 1 species
AAAGAAUUCCUACACAGCACAUAUUGGCAGUACACAAGCGACCAAGACUAAAUGUAGAAAUAGAACCUGAAAAGCUCGAUAGAGCCCAAACUUUUAAACCUCAUAAUAUGCUUGGGGUAUCAAACAAUUCAAGAACAAUCAAGCAGCCAAGACUAUUGCAUGGGCAAGGGCAUUUCCUUGAUGGGAGCAAGCUGCUAAAUCAGAGGCUAAGGGCAUCACUGCUUGAGAAGAAGCUUCAAAAGGCAGGUGGAUUGAGCAGGUGGCUAGCAUCAAUUGGACUGGGGCAAUUUGUGAAUAUUUUUCAGGGUAGGAGUGUCAGCAAGUUUCAGUUGGUUACUUUAACCAUGAAGAAGCUGAAGGAUAUGGGUGCAGAUGCUGUAGGCCCCCGAAGAAAACUGAUGCAUGCUAUAGACUGCAUUUGCCAGCCUUACUGUUUUGAAGCCUGCUAAAUGUUCACUGAAUCUUGCACCAUCUAGCGAGAUAGGUGAAAGGCGUGACCGCUGCUCUUUGCAUAUGCAUUCUUGUUGUAGAUUCUUCUAGUUGCAACAGGCAAGUCUUCACCAGUCGUAUCAUGGUAAUUGAUAUACAGGAGUGAAAAAUCAAAUUGGAGGCCUUGUUUAUCAUAUUUGUAGUCUGGACAAUUGAUUGAGGAUCAAACAUCUAGUUUUUUCCCGAAAUCUUUUAAACAGGUUUGUGCAAUGUGAAAUGGGUUGAAUUACUCGGGGGUCCC